UAAUACGUAGGGGGCGAGCGUUGUCCGGAAUUACUGGGCGUAAAGCGCACGCAGGCGGCCAUAUAAGUCGGGUAUGAAAUUGCUUGGCUUAACCAAGCAACUGUAUUCGAUACUGUGUGGCUUGAGUACGAGAGGGGAAAGUGGAAUGUACAGUGUAGCGGUGAAAUGCGUAGAGAUUGUACAGAACACCGGUAGCGAAGGCAACUUUCUGGCUCGAUACUGACGCUGAGGUGCGAAAGUCUGGGGAGCGAACGGGAUUAGAUACCCCGGUAGUCCAGACCGUAAACGAUGGGUACUAAGUAUAGGGGAUACGACUCUUCUGUGCUGUAGCUAACGCAUUAAGUACCCCGCCUGGGGAGUACGGCCGCAAGGUUA
rnacentral:rRNA from 1 species